rnacentral:rRNA from 1 species
GAUGAACGCUGGCGGCGUGCUUAACACAUGCCAGUCGAACGGUGAAAGAGAGCUUGCUCUCUGGAUUAGUGGCGAACGGGUGAGUAACACGUGAGCAAUCUGCCCCUGACUCUGGGAUAAGCGCUGGAAACGGCGUCUAAUACCGGAUACGAGCUGCGAAGGCAUCUUCAGCAGCUGGAAAGAACUUCGGUCAGGGAUGAGCUCGCGGCCUAUCAGCUAGUUGGUGAGGUAACGGCUCACCAAGGCGUCGACGGGUAGCCGGCCUGAGAGGGUGACCGGCCACACUGGGACUGAGACACGGCCCAGACUCCUACGGGAGGCAGCAGUGGGGAAUAUUGCACAAUGGGCGAAAGCCUGAUGCAGCAACGCCGCGUGAGGGACGACGGCCUUCGGGUUGUAAACCUCUUUUAGCAGGGAAGAAGCGAAAGUGACGGUACCUGCAGAAAAAGCACCGGCUAACUACGUG